GAAUAUUGCACAAUGGGGGAAACCCUGAUGCAGCGACGCCGCGUGAGUGAUGAAGUAUUUCGGUAUGUAAAGCUCUAUCAGCAGGGAAGAUAAUGACUGUACCUGACUAAGAAGCCCCGGCUAACUACGUGCCCGCCGCCGCGGUAAUACGUAGGGGGCAAGCGUUAGACGGAUUUACUGGGUGUAAAGGGAGUGUAGGUGGCCAGAGAAGUCAGAUGUGAAAGCCCAGGGCUCAACCCUGGGACUGCAUGUGAAACUAUCCGGCUAGAGUGCAGGAGAGGUAAGUGGAAUUCCUAGUGUAGCGGUGAAAUGCGUAGAUAUUAGGAGGAACACCAGUGGCGAAUGCGGCUCACUGGACUGUAACUGACACUGAGGCUCGAAAGCGUGGGGAGCAAACAGG
rnacentral:rRNA from 1 species